GGACCGAAGUGGUGUCAUGUAAUGUGACAUGUGUUGUGCUUUCUUCGUCUCUUCUUCUAGCCUGCCGCCUCCGCUACCUCAUGCUCAUGGCCAUGUUGUCGUCGCCGCCGCCGCCGUCGCCGUUCCUCUUCUCCGGAGGCCGCUUCUCCCCCGUCCAGUUCGACGUCUAUCGCUCCCGCGACUCGUUGGAGCACAGAGGGCCGCCGCGACGGCUGCCGAGCUUCGUCCGUUUAGCGUCGUCGAAGUCUUCCCUUUGUUCGAUGUUGACUUGUUCUUUUAAUCUACCCAUACCACGCAGACGCACAAUAGAAGUCUCGAUGUCGAACCUAGGCAUGCACCAGGAAUGAGUGAGUAUACCUGAGGUCCCUCGGUAACCAAUGACCCACGUUGGUUACCCUCUACUACCGAGCCCAAUUUAAGUUGGCCAAGCCUACCGCAAGUGUAUUGUCCUAUCCUCAGAUCUCUCGAAUAGGAAUAAUAAUGGCAAAGUCAACAGAAACAGGCGAACAUUAAAAAGUCAAGUACAUGAAACAAAACGAGGCAAACGCUCGACAU
rnacentral:rRNA from 1 species